GUUGAACCUGUGGGAAGAUGGUUUGAAGCUUUUGUUAAGAGGAGAAACAGAAAUGCUUCUGCCUCUUUUCAGGAACUGGAGGAUAAGAAAGAGUUAUCUGAGGAAUCAGAAGAUGAAGAAUUGCAGUUGGAAGAGUUUCCCAUGCUGAAAACACUUGAUCCCAAAGACUGGAAGAACCAAGAUCAUUAUGCAGUUCUUGGACUUGGCCAUGUGAGAUACAAGGCUACACAGAGACAGAUCAAAGCAGCUCAUAAAGCAAUGGUUUUAAAACAUCACCCAGACAAACGGAAAGCAGCUGGUGAACCAAUAAAAGAAGGAGAUAAUGACUACUUCACUUGCAUAACUAAAGGAUCCCCAGGUGAUUCUUAUCAGAAGCUCAUCCUACAGUUAAUUCAUCUUAUGAAAUGUUAUCUGAUCCAGUGAAAAGACGAGCAUUUAACAGUGUAGAUCCUACUUUUGAUAACUCAGUUCCUUCUAAAAGUGAAGCAAAGGAUAAUUUCUUCGAAGUGUUUACCCCAGUGUUUGAAAGGAAUUCCAGAUGGUCAAAUAAAAAAAAUGUUCCUAAACUUGGUGAUAUGAAUUCAUCAUUUGAAGAUGUAGAUAUAUUUUAUUCUUUCUGGUAUAAUUUUGAUUCUUGGAGAGAAUUUUCUUAUUUAGAUGAAGAAGAAAAAGAAAAAGCAGAAUGUCGUGAUGAGAGGAGAUGGAUUGAAAAGCAGAACAGAGCAACAAGAGCACAAAGAAAAAAAGAAGAAAUGAACAGAAUAAGAACAUUAGUUGGUAAGUAGAAUUGAUUUUUUUUAAGUCCCCUAAAUGUUAGAAAUUCAAAAUGAGAUUAACUUUUUCUUUUGCUAGACAAUGCAUAUAGCUGUGAUCCAAGGAUAAAAAAGUUCAAGGAAGAAGAAAAAGCCAAGAAAGAAGCAGAAAAGAAAGCAAAAGUAGAAGCUAAACGGAAGGAGCAAGAAGCUAAAGAAAAACAAAGACAAGCUGAAUUAGAAGCUGCUCGGUUAGCUAAGGAGAAAGAAGAGGAGGAAGUUAGACAGCAAGCAUUGCUGGCAAAGAAGGAAAAAGAUAUCCAGAAAAAAGCCAUUAAGAAGGAAAGGCAAAAACUUCGAAACUCAUGCAAGACCUGGAAUCAUUUUUCUGAUAAUGAGGCAGAGCGGGUUAAAAUGAUGGAAGAAGUGGAAAAGCUUUGUGAUCGGCUUGAACUGGCAAGGUAUACCUAUGGAACUGCUAUUGAAGUCUUCAUUUGAGCUUAGGAUAAAGUUUCAUUUCUUCUUUUUUUUUUCUUUAGCUUACAGUGCUUGAAUGAAACACUCACAUCAUGCACAAAAGAAGUAGGAAAGGCUGCUUUGGAAAAACAGAUAGAAGAAAUAAAUGAGCAAAUCAGAAAAGAGAAAGAGGAAGCUGAGGCUCGUAUGCGACAAGCAUCUAAGAACACAGAGAAAUCAACUGGUGGAGGUGGAAAUGGAAGUAAAAAUUGGUCAGAAGAUGAUCUACAAUUACUAAUUAAAGCUGUGAAUCUGUUCCCUGCUGGAACAAAUUCAAGAUGGGAAGUUAUUGCUAAUUACAUGAACAUACAUUCUUCCUCUGGAGUCAAAAGAACUGCCAAAGAUGUUAUUGGCAAAGCAAAGAGUCUCCAAAAACUUGACCCUCAUCAAAAAGAUGACAUAAAUAAAAAGGCAUUUGAUAAGUUUAAAAAAGAACACGGAGUGGUACCUCAAGCAGACAACGCAACGCCUUCAGAACGAUUUGAAGGUCCAUACACAGACUUCACCCCUUGGACAACGGAAGAACAGAAGCUUUUGGAACAAGCUUUGAAAACAUACCCAGUAAAUACACCUGAAAGAUGGGAAAAAAUAGCAGAAGCGGUGCCUGGCAGGACAAAGAAGGACUGCAUGAAACGAUACAAGGAACUUGUCGAGAUGGUAAAAGCAAAGAAAGCUGCUCAAGAACAAGUGCUGAAUGCCAGUAGAGCCAAGAAAUGACAAUCUUUGUUGUGUGUGCAUUUUUAUAAUAAAACUGAAAAUACUGUAAA
rnacentral:sRNA from 1 species